rnacentral:rRNA from 1 species
UUUGUCCACUAAUUAUGGACCUGUAUGAAAGGCCACAUGAGAAUCUAACUGUCUCUUGUAACCAAUUUAUAAAACUGAUCUUCCAGUUCAAAAGCUGAAAUAUACCUAUAAGACGAGAAGACCCUGUGAAGCUUAAAAGAUCCCAUUAAACCGCUUAAUGGGUAUUUUUAGUUGGGGCAACUUUGGAAAACAAUUUAACUUCCAAAAAGAGGAAACAACACCCACCAAGACCUACAAGUCAAUAAAGACCCAGUAUAACUGAUAAAUGAACCAAGUUACUCCAGGGAUAACAGCGCAAUCUUCUUCAAGAGCCCAUAUCAAAAAGAAGGUUUACGACCUCGAUGUUGGAUCAGGACACCCAAAUGGCGCAGUCGCUAUUAAAGGUUCGUUUGUUCAACGAUUAAUAGU